UGGAGCAGUGGAAAAAGAGACGUCAGAGGCGUAAAGGAUUAUAUGUUUCUCCACUAGUCAAGGUUCUUCCAUUCCAAGAUGUAAAAAAUAAGGAGAAGUCUUCAAAGGCAUCCCCAAAAGUGCCUGAGAAAAAGAAAAAGCCAGAAGAUGUGAUCCAGAAAGAACCAGUGAAGAAUUUCAGGAGAAGACAAUCAAAAAUCGAAGGGCCAAUCUGGAAUAAAUCAGGUCCAUCAGGAACAAUUGCUCCUCGAAGACUAUGCAGGCCACCAAAAUACAAAUGCUGCAACAAAUACUUCACCCUGAUUACUGGUUGACCUGUGACAUCAUCGACCUGGCCAGCUACCUCAUGGCAAAGGACAAUGUGCACAUUGAUGGGUUUCAAUCUGUUCUGCCCUUUAGUGCGAUUCCAAAUGGUGGAAUUGUGGGAACUCCACAAAAUAAAUUUGUGCAAAUAUUGAACAUUCGGCAAUGCCACUGGAUCAGUCAGCAAUUUGUUUUGUAAUGAAAAUCAGCUCUCUGUGUAUGACAGCAAAUGCACCCCUCUGGACCCAGGAACACUACAAGCACUGUCCUGGCUGGUGAGGCCGCAGUCAGGCAAGUUUGAUGUUUUGCAACCAGCUGUGCAGCAACAAUCAAAUAACAGCAAUUGUGGGUUGUUCGCAAUAGCAUUUGCAUAUGCUGUUUGCAAGGGUCACCCACCAGAGGUAUGCAUAUUUAAUGAAAGCAGGCUAAGGGCACAACUGUAUGCUUCAUUAACGAAAAACAGUAUCGCGUUUGGCAUGAAGAGUCGAGAGAGUGAAGCCGAGGCAAA